rnacentral:rRNA from 1 species
CGUGGGUAAUCUGCCUAUGAGACGGGGAUAGCCCCGGGAAACUGGGGUUAAUACCGAUGUGAUCCUAGUGGCGCAUGCCACAAGGAGGAAAGGGCGCAAGCCGCCAUAGAUGAGCCCGCGGCCCAUUAGCUAGUUGGCAGGGUAAAAGCCUACAAGGCGACGAUGGGUAGCCGGUCUGAGAGGAUGGCCGGCCACACUGGGAUGAGACACGGCCCAGACUCCUACGGGAGGCAGCAGCAAGGAAUUUGGGCAAUGGGGGAAACCCUGACCCAGCGACGCCGCGUGAGCGAAGAGGCCUUCGGGUCGUAAAGCUCUGUCUUUGGGGACGAAUGGGACGGUACCAAAGAGGAAGCCCCGGCUAACUACGUGCCAGCAGCCGCGGUAAUACGUAGGGGCGAGCGUUGUCCGGAAUUAUUGGGCGUAAAGGGCGAGUAGGCGGCGCAGGUCGGGUGUGAAAAACCAAGGCUCAACCUUGGAACGGCAUCCGA